rnacentral:rRNA from 1 species
GGACAACGUGCCCUGAGGACUGGAAUAAUCCCGGGAAACUGGGAGUAAUUCCAGAUAUGCCAGGGAACCUGGAAUGGGUUCUGGCAGAAAGGCUCCGGCGCCUCAGGAUGGGUCUGCGGCCUAUCAGGGUAGUAGUGGGUGUAACGUACCUACUAGCCUACGACGGGUACGAGUUGUGAAAGCAAGAGCCCGGAGAUGGAUUCUGAGACAUGAAUCCAGGCCCUACGGGGUGCAGCAGGCGCGAAAACUUUACAAUGCGGGCAACCGCGAUAAGGGGACCUCGAGUGCUGGGUUACAAACCUGGCUGUUGGGCUGCCUAAAAAGCAGUCUAUAGCAAGGGCCGGGCAAGACCGGUGCCAGCCGCCGCGGUAACACCGGCGGCUCGAGUGGUAACCGCUAUUAUUGGGUCUAAAGGGUCUGUAGCCGGCCGACUAAGUCUCUUGGGAAAUCUGGCAUCUCAAGUGUCAGGCUGCCAGGGGAUACUGGUCAGCUUGGGACCGGGAGAGGUGAGAGGUACCUCGGGGGUAGGGGUGAAAUCUUGUAAUCCUCGAGGGACCACCAGUGGCGAAGGCGUCUCACCAGAACGGAUCCGACGGCAAGGGACGAAAGCUAGGGGCACGAACCGGAUUAGAUACCCGGGUAGUCCUAGCCGUAAACGAUACUCGCUAGGUGUCGGCCACGGUGCGACCGUGGUCGGUGCCGUAGGGAAGCCGUGAAGCGAGCCACCUGGGAAGUACGGCCGCAAGGCUGAAACU